GACGAACGCUGGCGGCGUGCUUAACACAUGCAAGUCGAGCGGAAAGGCCCUGCUUUUGUGGGGUGCUCGAGUGGCGAACGGGUGAGUAACACGUGAGUAACCUGCCCUUGACUUUGGGAUAACUUCAGGAAACUGGGGCUAAUACCGGAUAGGAGCUCCUGCUGCAUGGUGGGGGUUGGAAAGUUUCGGCGGUUGGGGAUGGACUCGCGGGUUAUCAGCUUGUUGGUGGGGUAGUGGCUUACCAAGGCUUUGACGGGUAGCCGGCCUGAGAGGGUGACCGGCCACAUUGGGACUGAGGUACGGCCCAGACGCCUACGGGAGGCAGCAGUGGGGAAUAUUGCACAAUGGGCGGAAGCCUGAUGCAGCAACGCCGCGUGCGGGAUGACGGCCUUCGGGUUGUAAACCGCUUUCGCCUGUGACGAAGCGUGAGUGACGGUAAUGGGUACAGAAGCACCGGCUAACUACGUG
rnacentral:rRNA from 1 species